rnacentral:rRNA from 1 species
ACGCUCGACACCUACUGGAGGCAGCAGUGAGGAAUAUUGGUCAAUGGGCGCUAGCCUGAACCAGCCAAGUAGCGUGAAGGAUGAAGGCUCUAUGGGUCGUAAACUUCUUUUAUAUAAGAAUAAAGUGCAGUAUGUAUACUGUUUUGUAUGUAUUAUAUGAAUAAGGAUCGGCUAACUCCGUGCCUAGCAGCCGCGGUAAUCUGAGCGGGCUGGCAAGGC